AUUUGACUUUAUAAGACCUCAAUAUAUCAUCAGGAACCACGUUAUUAAUUUGUGUUGCCUGAUAUGCUUUUUUGACUCUCAAAGUGCCGGUACCCAUUGACUUGCAAUUUAUGAAUCUUCAAGGAGCACGGUUUCAGCUAAAAAUCUUCUUUACUGUUCUACUGAAGAAAAAAAGUAAUCUCGGAUGGCCUGAGGAUGAGUAAUUUAACAGUUAAUUUUCAUUUUGACUGAACUGUCCCUUUAAAUUCUGUCUCCAGUAAAAUACAAGUUGGUGUUCACAUUUACAUAAAUCUUGUUCGGGUGACUAGCGACUUCUAAUCACUUAAGGAUAAUUUGCCUCCUGAAACGACUGAAGAAAUUGGACCAUGUGGCUGAUAGAAACCAUAUAAGAGUUGAAAACUACAAAGCGGGAAUCUUAUUUUCAUUUCGCAUUAGCUGUCUUUGGUCACAGUGUAAUGAAGUCAAAUGUAACCCGCGGCUGUUCCUAUAAAUCCUACAAACCACAUUCAAAUGUCGGUUUGACCGAAUGAAAUUGAAAUUCAGUCCAACCCUGUUGCUGACAGAAACCGUACGAGCUUUGAAACGUCUCGCCUGGUGAUAUGCGAACUCCAGAGACAUUUGUACAUCUUGUUUUUGUCCUGUUUAAUUGUAUUUGCUAUCUCAGAUUGGUGCUGUGUCUUUGUUUGGUGCUCAUGAGGGAAAUGCAAAUGUGGAAAGUUCCGGAUCCCAUUUCCCCUGUUAGCUCCGUCUGUCUGUUCAGAACCAUUUGUCUUCGUAAACCACUCUCAAAUUGUUGCAUUCAGUUUAAUUUGAUAAUGUGUCUUUUGGAUAUGGUACCAUGACAAUACUAUUAUAUUUCGACAUUCUUUGAAGUGCCUUGGGGAACCAUGUAAAUACUGUGGACCAUGAAUAAUCCUUCAAUAACAUGGUUUAUAUCAGAAAACCACGUGUGUAUGUAUGUAUUUGUUUGUUUGUGAAUUUGAAUUGAUUUUUUUUAUUAUAUUUAAAUAAUUUUAUGUUAAUAAUGCUUUUUAUUUGUUUGUUUUUAUUUAAAUAAUUAAAAUCUUUGUAAGAGG
ensembl:lncRNA